CCUACGGGUGGCAGCAGUGGGGAAUAUUGGACAAUGGGGGGAACCCUGAUCCAGCCAUGCCGCGUGUGUGAAGAAGGCCCUCGGGUUGUAAAGCACUUUCAGUGAGGAAGAACGCCUGGUGGUUAAUACCCAUCAGGAAAGACAUCACUCACAGAAGAAGCACCGGCUAACUCCGUGCCAGCAGCCGCGGUAAUACGGAGGGUGCGAGCGUUAAUCGGAAUUACUGGGCGUAAAGCGCGCGUAGGUGGCUUGAUAAGCCGGUUGUGAAAGCCCCGGGCUCAACCUGGGAACGGCAUCUGGAACUGUCAAGCUAGAGUGCAGGAGAGGAAGGUAGAAUUCCCGGUGUAGCGGUGAAAUGCGUAGAGAUCGGGAGGAAUACCAGUGGCGAAGGCGGCCUUCUGGACUGACACUGACACUGAGGUGCGAAAGCGUGGGUAGCAAACAGGAUUAGAUACCCUGGUAGUC
rnacentral:rRNA from 1 species